ACUGCUCAGUAACACGUGGACAACCUGCCCUUAGGUUGGGUAUAAACCCGGGAAACUGGGUAUAAUACCCGAUAGGUCUCGAUUGCUGGAAUGCAUCGAGAUUUAAAGCUCCGGCGCCUAAGGAUGGGUCUGCGGCCUAUCAGGUAGUAGUGGGUGUAGCGUACCUACUAGCCUACGACGGGUACGGGUUGUGAGAGCAAGAGCCCGGAGAUGGAUUCUGAGACACGAAUCCAGGCCCUACGGGGUGCAGCAGGCGCGAAAACUUUACAAUGCUGGCAACAGCGAUAAGGGAACCUCGAGUGCCAGGUUACAAAUCUGGCUGUCGAGAUGCCUAAAAAGCAUUUCAUAGCAAGGGCCGGGCAAGACCGGUGCCAGCCGCCGCGGUAACACCGGCGGCUCGAGUGGUAACCGUUAUUACUGGGUCUAGAGGGUCUGUAGCCGGCCGGAUAAGUCUCUUGAGAAAUCUGGCAGCUUAACUGUCAGGCUUUCAGGAGAUACUGUCUGGCUCGAGGCCGGGAGAGGUGAGAGGUACUUCAGGGGUAGGGGUGAAAUCUUGUAAUCCUUGAAGGACCACCAGUGGCGAAGGCGUCUCACCAGAACGGACCUGACGGCAAGGGACGAAAGCUAGGGGCACGAACCGGAUUAGAUACCCGGGUAGUCCUAGCCGUAAACGAUACUCGCUAGGUGUCGGCCACGGUGCGACCGUUGUCGGUGCCGUAGGGAAGCCGUGAAGCGAGCCACCUGGGAAGUACGGCCGCAAGGCUGAAACUUAAAGGAAUUGGCGGGGGAGCAC
rnacentral:rRNA from 1 species